rnacentral:rRNA from 1 species
AUUGAACGCUGGCGGCAGGCCUAACACAUGCAAGUCGAACGAGUGGCGGACGUGUCAGUAAUUUCUGGGAAACUGCCCGAUUGAGGUGGAUAACUACUGGAAACGGUAGCUAAUACCGCAUACCAUCGGAUGUGCCCAGAGGGGAUUAGCUAGUAGGUGGGGUAACGGCUCACCUAGGCGACGAUACCUAGCUGGGCUGAGAGGAUGACCAGCCACACUGGAACUGAGACACGGUCCAGACUCCUACGGGAGGCAGCAGUGGGGAAUAUUGCACAAUGGGCGCAAGCCUGAUGCAGCCAUGCCGCGUGUAUGAAGAAGGCCUUCGGGUUGUAAAGUACUGUCAGCGGGGAGGCGUUAACCGAAGAAGAAGCAACGGCUAACUCCGUGCCAGCCGCCGCGGUAAUUC